AUGAAGCAGACCCAUUCAUUUGUACCGACCAACCUGGCUCCCUGGCACUGCCUCCCCCAAACCACUGUGUCGGGCAAAGCAGAAGGCACAGGGCUGCUUGCCACUGGGGCCCAGGGGGAUGGGAUCAUUGAAUGUGUCCCAGCACCUGACACAGCUCCGGGGAUCACUGACACUGGGCAUUACCUCACUGGUGCACAGGAUGGGACUGGGAAAAUUAUGGGGAAAAAGGGGAGGACAUCCCGGGGAGAGCAUAGCUGUCAAGGGAGUUCUGCCGGUCCGGAGCCCACCCCAGGGGUCUCUUUUCCCCACAUGCUCCGUGAUCCCAGCUGUGGGGUGGCACUGUCCCGAUCCCUGGGCCAUGGAGAAGUCCCCGGUUUUGAUGGCGAAACCCGGUCGUGCCCCCCACUUUUUCAGCCCCUGGUCCCAGCCCGGGCCCAGGCCUGCCCCACAGCAGCCCCCCUUUCCCCAGUGCCCGGCUCCCUGCUACCCUCACACUGCCGGUGCCCCCGCCUCUCCCUUCGGUACGCCCCUGGGUACCCCCAAUCCCCCGCUGCUCCCCUGGUGUCCCUGUCUCUCCAAAUGCUUCCCCCCUCCCUGGUGCGUCCCCCCGGUGCUCCCCAUCCUCCCCAUUACUGCUGCCCGCUACCCGGUGCUCUCCGUCCCUCGGUGCCGCUGCCCCUCGAUCGGACCUCCAGAUGCCCCCCUGAACAUCCUAUUCAUGGCCCCGGAUCUGCCCCGGUGCCUCUCGCGUUGCGACCUCCAGGACCCCACCAAUGCUCCCCCGUCACCUCACUGCUGCUCCCCCAAGCUCCGUCCUGCUGCUCCCCCAGGAUCCCCCGCGGGUCCCCUCCGGUGCCCCUUCCACCCCCGCGGGUCUCCUCCCGCGACCGCCCCCCCGGUGGCCAUCCCGGAUCUCCCCGUGCGCCCCUGGGUACUUGGUCGGUGCCCCCCUGGGGGCCCCCGGUGCCCCCAACGCCCGAAGCCCCCGCGUGUCCCCUGGAUGUCCCCGUCCCCCCACCUUUCCCCGCCCCG
rnacentral:lncRNA from 13 species